UACGGGGGGAGCAAGCGUUGUUCGGAUUUACUGGGCGUAAAAGGGCGCGUAGGCGGCGCAACAAGUCACUUGUGAAAUCUCCGGGCUUAACCCGGAGCGGUCAAGUGAUACUGUCGUGCUAGAGUGCGGAAGGGGCUACUGGAAUUCUCGGUGUAGCGGUGAAAUGCGUAGAUAUCGAGAGGAACACCUGCGGCGAAGGCGGGUAGCUGGGCCGACACUGACG
rnacentral:rRNA from 1 species